CCCUUAGAUGUCCUGGGCCGCACGCGCGCUACACUGACAUGUUCAACAAGCCUCCUAGUUCGACAGGAUUUGGGAAAUCUUUGAACGCAUGUCGUGAUAGGGAUAGAUCAUUGCAAUUAUUGAUCUUGAACGAGGAAUUCCUAGUAAACGCGAGUCAUCAGCUCGCAUUGAUUACGUCCCUGCCCUUUGUACACACCGCCCGUCGCACCUACCGAUUGAAUGUUUCGGUGAAGAUUCCGGAUAGGACUUUUUGAUUUAUUUCAAUUCUGUCUUAAAAGCUAUCUAAACCUCAACAUUUAGAGGAAGGUGAAGUCGUAACA
rnacentral:rRNA from 1 species